CAGAACACAGAAUAACGAUUCUCAGCGUCUUACUUGCUGGGGCAAUAAUGAUCAUGAUCUGCCUGUGCAUCUAUAUCAGGAAACUGAAAAAGAAGGCGGAGACAAAUUCUCGACCUCAACUAGAGGAGGUGGUGAUCAAAGUGCCAGGUCACACAAAUGAAGAACCGAAGACGACCAAAAAGAGGGUUACGUUUAGCAACCUGUCAGAGGUCCAUGUCUAUUAAAGUUCUCACAUUUAAAUCAAAA